rnacentral:rRNA from 1 species
GUGAACGCUGGCGGUAGGCCUAACACCUGCCAGUCGCACGGCAGCACAGUAAGAGCUUGCUCUUACGGGUGGCGAGUGGCGGACGGGUGAGGAAUACAUCGGAAUCUACUUUUUCGUGGGGGAUAACGUAGGGAAACUUACGCUAAUACCGCAUACGACCUACGGGUGAAAGCAGGGGAUCUUCGGACCUUGCGCGAUUGAAUGAGCCGAUGUCGGAUUAGCUAGUUGGCGGGGUAAAGGCCCACCAAGGCGACGAUCCGUAGCUGGUCUGAGAGGAUGAUCAGCCACACUGGAACUGAGACACGGUCCAGACUCCUACGGGAGGCAGCAGUGGGGAAUAUUGGACAAUGGGCGCAAGCCUGAUCCAGCCAUACCGCGUGGGUGAAGAAGGACUUCGGGUUGUAAAGCCCUUUUGUUGGGAAAGAAAAGCAGCAGGUUAAUACCCCGCUGUUCUGACGGUACCCAAAGAAUAAGCACCGGCUAACUUCGUG